rnacentral:misc_RNA from 1 species
AACGCACGAGACCUGCGGACCUGCGGAAGGAUCAUUGCGAGUGAGAGAUGUUUGGCUGGGGGGGUCUGGGUGGGUGUGGUUCUGCUUGGUGGUUCUGCUUGGUGGUUCUGCUUGGUGGUUCUGCUGGCAAGCGGGGUCGCUUGGGUAGAGACACUGGACACACCAGAUCCCUGCACCGGCCCAUCACAUUUGCGCUUGUGUGGUUUGACAGAGUGAAUUGUGGAUUAACAUGGACAACUU